UGCAGUCGAGCGGACAGAUGGGAGCUUGCUCCCUGAUGUUAGCGGCGGACGGGUGAGUAACACGUGGGUAACCUGCCUGUAAGACUGGGAUAACUCCGGGAAACCGGGGCUAAUACCGGAUGGUUGUUUGAACCGCAUGGUUCAAACAUAAAAGGUGGCUUCGGCUACCACUUACAGAUGGACCCGCGGCGCAUUAGCUAUUGGUGAGGUAAUGGCUCACCAAGGCAACGAUGCGUAGCCACCUGAGAGGGUGAUCGGCCACACUGGGACUGAGACACGGCCAGACUCCUACGGGAGGCAGCAGUAGGGAAUCUUCCGCAAUGGACGAAAGUCUGACGGAGCAACGCCGCGUGAGUGAUGAAGGUUUUCGGAUCGUAAAGCUCUGUUGUUAGGGAAGAACAA
rnacentral:rRNA from 2 species